rnacentral:rRNA from 2 species
UAGGGAAUCUUCCGCAAUGGGCGAAAGCCUGACGGAGCAACGCCGCGUGAGUGAUGAAGGUCUUCGGAUCGUAAAACUCUGUUAUUAGGGAAGAACAAAUGUGUAAGUAACUAUGCACGUCUUGACGGUACCUAAUCAGAAAGCCACGGCUAACUACGUGCCAGCAGCCGCGGUAAUACGUAGGUGGCAAGCGUUAUCCGGAAUUAUUGGGCGUAAAGCGCGCGUAGGCGGUUUUUUAAGUCUGAUGUGAAAGCCCACGGCUCAACCGUGGAGGGUCAUUGGAAACUGGAAAACUUGAGUGCAGAAGAGGAAAGUGGAAUUCCAUGUGUAGCGGUGAAAUGCGCAGAGAUAUGGAGGAACACCAGUGGCGAAGGCGACUAUCUGGUCUGUAACUGACGCUGAUGUGCGAAAGCGUGGGGAUCAAACAGG